GAUGAACGCUGGCGGCGUGCCUAAUACAUGCAAGUCGAGCGAACGGACGAGAAGCUUGCGUCUCUGAUGUUAGCGGCGGACGGGUGAGUAACACGUGGAUAACCUACCUAUAAGACUGGGAUAACUUCGGGAAACCGUAGCUAAUACCGGAUAAUAUUUUGAACCGCAGGGUUCAAAAGUGAAAGACGGUCUUGCUGUCACUUAUAGAUGGAUCCGCGCUGCAUUAGCUAGUUGGUAAGGUAACGGCUUACCAAGGCAACGAUGCAUAGCCGACCUGAGAGGGUGAUCGGCCACACUGGAACUGAGACACGGUCCAGACUCCUACGGGAGGCAGCAGUAGGGAAUAUUCCGCAAUGGGCGAAAGCCUGACGCAGCCACGCCGCGUGAGUGAUGAAGGUCUUCGGAUCGUAAAGCUCUGUUAUUAGGGAAGAACAUAUGUGUAAGUAACUGUGCACAUCUUGACGGUACCCAAUCAGAAAGCCACGGCUAACUACGUG
rnacentral:rRNA from 1 species